rnacentral:lncRNA from 1 species
AUUUACAGUAAAUAAAAUUUUUUCACAGAGACCCCGCCCACCACAUAGUUACUGCCAGAUCUGUAGUCAGUAAAUCUGACAUCAUGUUUGCAUAAUCAGCACUGCAGGUUUACUAUAUUUGUUCGCCCACACUGUGAGCGCCAAACCUGCUCUUUGUUUUAACAGAGUCAGCACUCUAUCAUGCUGCGACAGUGGUCAGAGGUCAUGUUAAAGCUUACAAGGAGUGUCUCAAAGUCAAAUAAGUUCAUUCUUUCACUUCUUUUCAACACUGGAACUCAGAACUCAUUGUAACCAUUUAAAAUUAUAAAACAACUUUUGGAUAGAGGGAGAGCAGAUCAUCUAACAAUUAAAAGGGCACUUUUAAAGAAGCUCAAAGUGAGUCUGUGCAGAUGCCCAGGUGAUCGGAGGAGGGAGAGGAGGAGGAGGAGGAGGAGGAAGAGGAGGAGUAUAAAAAGCUGCUGCUCUCUUUCAGUCGAGUUUAAAUACACUGAAGUUUCACCUGAUCAGAGCUUCCAUCGACCUGCGGAUUACCGAUAUGCUGCAGCGGUCAACUGUGUUGCUGCUCUUUGUGCUCGUUGCUGUUUCACUUGCAGCUCCAGUCCAGAGUAAGCCAUGACAUCAUUAUCAUUAUUCAAUCAGGUUUAUCAGUCUGUAUUUUUAUAUGAACUUAUAAUUAUUUAACAAUUCAAGUGUUUUUACAGAUUUAUUUUACAGAUUGUAUUAACUGCAGUGACCUAAUUAAGGGUCAUUGGUAUUAAAAGCUUGUAAUC